UCGUUAAUUUGAAGCUAAGAUGCCAAAAAUGGCUACAAAGUGAGUUCUCACGAGCGCAGCCCAGUUCUAAAGCUAACGGAUUGCCUAAAAAUGGUAAAAUAUUUUAUUUAUACUAAGCUAAAAAAAUUAGAUAAAAAUACCCAUGUGGGGUCAGUGUGGGCCGCACAAAAUGGACUGCGGCCGCACAAGGCUCUUUAAAUCUAAAAUUUAGCUCUCUGAAGUUAGGCUCUACCGACCGUGCAAAAUGGACUACGGCCGUAGAGGU
rnacentral:lncRNA from 1 species